ensembl:lncRNA LINC02532 long intergenic non-protein coding RNA 2532
AUGAUAAGGACAAAGAGUCAAAGUUCCUGAGCCUCCAUUUCAAAGGAGAGAAGAAGAUGAUGAUGGCUGGCCAGCAAAUUCAGAGAAGACUGGGUUGGAAGGCGAGAUCUGCCUGGACUCUACAACCAGAGGCCAUUACAAGAUGGUGUCCCCUUGGCCAAUACAGCAGGGGAAACAGCUGAUGCCCAAAGACCGCAUGGUUUGGAGGAGGCUCUCCUCAGAGAAGAAGUGGCCUGCCUCCACUCCUCUGGGUUCCCUAGAGCUGGUCCUCUUCUCCCUGAAGGCUGUCACAGUUCCUGUGCAGAGAGAGAGGGCACUGCAGCACCCAGGCGCUGACUGCCUUUUGUCAGUCUCAUUUGCAGGCCCCCAGCUGGAGAACCCAGGAGGAAGAGGAAAAAAGUUUUUUCCUCCUCUACACUCCCCAUGCAUGACUAAAGAGUAGGAGGAGUCAGCAAGGCAGACAUAUAUAGUACCCAGGAGGUGGACAAACAACUGCCUUGGUGGAAACUCUGUCCUUUCUGGACUUAUCCUGGUGCCACUGAGACUGUGCAGGUCCCACACUUACAGGGAAAGCAUCACCCGAAAGUGAGAAUGCCUAGAGGCAGGAAUCAUGGAGGCUUCCUUAACCGUCUGUCUGCAACAGCAGGUGCUAGAGAUGACACUGCAGAGUAGAGAACAAAGGAAUCUUAGUAAUUGUUCAAUCCAAUCUCCACACUUUAAAGAUGAAGAAACUGGUAUUGAGAAAAAUACACAGCUUAUCCAAGGUUGCACUGCUGGUUGGUAGCUGAGAUGAAUUUAGAACCCACAUCUGAUGACUACACCAUAUUGCUCCCAGUUUUCCUGUCUGUUCCACAUGUAAAAGUCUGACUCUUCACUUCUCCUUUGAGUAUAUAGACUUUUAACAUUUUUGUAUGUCAAGAUGGACUUUUCCUCAUACCCAGCCCCUGCCUUUUCUCCUCCCUUCAUACCUUGCAGGAUCUUUAACAGAAUUUAAAAGGAGUUUUUUGUUUUGUUUUGAUGUAUCUAAUAAAAGUCAAGGGAGGGAGAGGGCCAGUAUAAGCAAGAGUACAGUUUCCUAGUUUGUAGAUGCGGUAGUCUGAGGAAUCAGAAACACACAAAGGUUUGGAGAACUGGUACAUGCUCCCAGGUGGGAAGCCAGGACUCUUGGUAGGAUCUUGAGGACAAGGCAAAGGACAAUAAGAGAGCGAGGGGAUCCUAGAGGUGGAAUCAAGGAAGAGAAACUAGAGAGAGAAAAAGGAACUGGCUAUCCAUCCAUGAUGGAUCCUGUGUGGACUGAUGGGUGGCUUGGCAUCAUCCUUUAGUAGACUUCAUGUGGUUGAAUAAUUGGCCAAUGGAAGGAAUUUCUUUUUUGGUAACAGACUCUGUGUGUACAGUUAUGGGUCUUAAUUUAUAAUAAAAGGUUACAUUGAAAA